AUUGAACGCUGGCGGCAUGCUUUACACAUGCAAGUCGAACGGUAACAGGCCGCAAGGUGCUGACGAGUGGCGAACGGGUGAGUAAUGCAUCGGAACGUGCCCAGUCGUGGGGGAUAACGCAGCGAAAGCUGCGCUAAUACCGCAUACGAUCUAUGGAUAAAAGCGGGGGACCGUAAGGCCACGCGCGAUUGGAGCGGCCGAUGUCAGAUUAGGUAGUUGGUGAGGUAAAGGCUCACCAAGCCAACGAUCUGUAGCUGGUCUGAGAGGACGACCAGCCACACUGGGACUGAGACACGGCCCAGACUCCUACGGGAGGCAGCAGUGGGGAAUUUUGGACAAUGGGCGCAAGCCUGAUCCAGCAAUGCCGCGUGCAGGAAGAAGGCCUUCGGGUUGUAAACUGCUUUUGUACGGAACGAAACGGUCUGGGUUAAUACCCUGGGCUAAUGACGGUACCGUAAGAAUAAGCACCGGCUAACUACGUGCCAGCCGCCGCCGUAAGAC
rnacentral:rRNA from 1 species